rnacentral:lncRNA from 1 species
AUGACACAGACUUCUGCUAGUGGGGCAUCAUCGGAGAUCCCUGAUACACCUUCAAGUUAUGAGUUUAACUCAUCAUCACCAAUGGAGCGUCCAAUGGGACAAAAAGCAGCAAAAAGGAAGGGUAAGGCAAAGAAAAUUUCAAAUGCAACGCAAGAUGCAAGGAAUAAAAGAGCAGAAACAAUGGAAAGACUUGCGCAAAGUAAGGAGGACGAGAUAGAAUUAAAGGUAAUGCAAAUCAUGAUGAAAGACACUUCUACUAUGAAUGAAAGUCAACGAGAUAUUCAUGAAAAAUAUUAUAAUAAAAUGAAAAAAAAAUAUGGAUUGUAG